rnacentral:rRNA from 1 species
UUACCCGCUGAACUUAAGCAUAUCAAUAAGCGGAGGAAAAGAAACCAACAGGGAUUGCCUCAGUAACGGCGAGUGAAGCGGCAACAGCUCAAAUUUGAAAUCUGGCCCUUUCAGGGUCCGAGUUGUAAUUUGUAGAGGAUGCUUCGGGUACGGCUCCGGUCUAAGUUCCUUGGAACAGGACGUCACAGAGGGUGAGAAUCCCGUUUGUGACCGGCCGCCACGCCCGUGUGAAGCUCCUUCGACGAGUCGAGUUGUUUGGGAAUGCAGCUCAAAAUGGGUGGUAAAUUUCAUCUAAAGCUAAAUAUUGGCCAGAGACCGAUAGCGCACAAGUAGAGUGAUCGAAAGAUGAAAAGCACUUUGGAAAGAGAGUUAAACAGUACGUGAAAUUGUUGAAAGGGAAGCGCUUGCAACCAGACUUGCCCGCAGGUGAUCAACCGGUAUUCUUACCGGUGCACUCGCCUGUGGGCAGGCCAGCAUCGGUUUGGGUGGCUGGAUAAAGUCCCCCGGAAUGUAGCUCCCUCCGGGGAGUGUUAUAGCCGGGGGUGCAAUGCAGCCCGCCCGGACCGAGGACCGCGCUUCGGCUAGGAUGCUGGCGUAAUGGUUGUAAGCGACCCGUCUUGAAACACGGACCA